rnacentral:rRNA from 1 species
AGGACUAACGCUGGCGGCGUGCCUAACACAUGCAAGUCGAGCGGGGUAGCAAUACCCAGCGGCAGACGGGUGAGUAACGCGUGGUCAACCUUCCGUUGAAUGGGGGAUAACUAGCCGAAAGGUUAGCUAAUACCGCAUACGAUCUUUUGAAGGCAUCUUUAAAAGAUGAAAGGAGCAAUUCGUUCAACGACGGGACCGCGUCCCAUUAGCUAGAUGGUGGGGUAAUGGCCUACCAUGGCAACGAUGGGUAGCUGGUUUGAGAGAGCGACCAGCCACACUGGGACUGAGAAACGGCCCAGACUCCUACGGGAGGCAGCAGUGAGGAAUUUUCCGCAAUGGGCGAAAGCCUGACGGAGCGACGCCGCGUGUGGGAAGAAGGCCUUCGGGUCGUAAACCACUGUCGAAGGGGACGAUAAUGACGGUACCUUGGAGGAAGCCCGGCUAACUACGCGCCAGCAGCCGC